rnacentral:rRNA from 1 species
GUGCCAGCAGCGCGGUAAUACGGAGGGUGCAAGCGUUAUCCGGAUUCAUUGGGUUUAAAGGGUGCGCAGGCGGAUACUUAAGUCAGUGGUGAAAUCCCGGGGCUCAACCCCGGAACUGCCAUUGAUACUGAAUAUCUGGAAUACGGUUGAAGUGGGCGGAAUGUAGCAUGUAGCGGUGAAAUGCAUAGAGAUGCUACAGAACACCGAUCGCGAAGGCAGCUCACUAAGCCGAUAUUGACGCUCAGGCACGAAAGCGUGGGGAGCGAACAGGAUUAGAUACCCUGGUAGUCCACGCCGUAAACGAUGAUAACUCGUUGUUGGCGACACACAGUCAGCGACUAAGCGAAAGCGAUAAGUUAUCCACCUGGGGAGUACGAUCGCAAGGUUGAAACUCAAAGAGUUAGUACGG